rfam:Ascaris suum AG01339, whole genome shotgun sequence.
CAGCACGUCAAAGUGGUGAUGAUGUGUUGUGCUGUGGAUAAGCUCAUAUCAAAACCAGCUUUGAUGCGCUGUG